UCCUAGCCCCAAUUGCAACGACAUCCUUUUGUGUAGCAAAGUGGAACAAAAGAUAUAGUGGAAAGCGGGAUUAAGC
rnacentral:sRNA from 1 species